GAUUUCUGGUCUGAAGCAUUUUGCCGGCCGCGGUUUCGCGUGUUAGUGCUUGAUGUUCUGGCCAUCCUUCCAAUUGCUAUUCAUCUUUCUUCAUUGAUGGGUGAGUGGUAUUGGAUCUUUUACUUUGAAAAAAUUAGAGUGUUUCAAGCAGGCUUUUUGCUAUGAAUACAUUAGCAUGGAAUAAUAAUUUAGGACUUCGGUUCUAUUUUGUUGGUUUCUAGGACUGAAGUAAUGAUUGAUAGGGUCAGUUGGGGGUGCUAGUAUUCAGCGGCCAGAGGUGAAAUUCUUGGAUUCGCUGAAGACUAACUUAUGCGAAAGCAUU
rnacentral:rRNA from 1 species